UCCUCCAAUUCUACAAUCAAUCCCAACUCUUCAUAGUCCUUCACGUCUAAUGACGUGAUUUCCUCCAACUUUCCAACAAAACUAUUUUCCGAUAUAUUCUUCACUUUCAUCUCAUCAUUUUUAAUCUCUACUUUCACCUCCUCACCACCAGUAUUGAUCCUCCAAAAGUGAAAUUAAGUAGGGGGGAUCAUCAUUGAGUGGUGACAAUAACAAUAGGGAUUUUGAGUUGAUUGAAUGGAUUUGGUACCCUAACAGUUAUGAAGAGUUCCUGCGGGUUAUCAGUGUUUUUCUUUCUUUUGAGGAAAUUGAAAAUCAAAUAUUUUGAUUUGGGAUAUGGAAGUAGAUGAAAUUGAAGGAAAACGAAUUGGACAGAAAGAGAAAAUCAAUGAAAUUGAAAAACCCUUUUAGGUUAUUGAAUUUUUCAGGGGAUAUGAAACUGGAAAGCAAUUGAAUAUACUAACAUUAAUAGUUUAGAGGGGAAAGAGUGAAAUUGGAAAAUCCUUUUAAUUUCUUGAGAUAUGGAGGUAGAGAAAAUUGAAAGAAAAUGAAUUUGGGAAUUAAAAGGAAAAGAGGAAGAAGAUGAGAUCCGAAAUUGAGAAAAAAGGAAGAAGAUGAGAUCUGAAAUUGCGAAAAGAAAAAAACUAAGGGAAAGAGAGAGAAAGGGAAGAUGGGUUAAAAUGAAAUUUGUGUUAUAGCAUAGAUCAAGUUAUAAAGGAAAUGGGUUAAACGGUGGGGAACUUAAUUUGACGACACAUAGUAAAUUUGGUAUUUAAAAUUUAUAAAAAAUUGGCUAAUAAAAUAUGACGUGUUGUUGUUAUAUAUGACCUCUAUACCCAAUUAACCCGUGGCAUGAAUAAGCCAUAGUCAUAACGAUCAUAGCAAAAGUGGUACCUAAUUUAUCUGCUAUCAACGACAAAUAAAUGAGAAAUUGCCAAGAGAAAUAUAUUCGUAAAAAGGAAAAAUAACUACAAUAAAAUAGUGCACUAAUCAAAGUACAAGAGACAAAUAGAUAGUAAAAAAAUCGAAGGACAAGAAACUAUAGGAGAAAUACUAGGGCUACCGCUAUGGAAGGAUAUGCAAGAGAAUAUUCUACUACCUAUUAACCUUCUAACCUAAUUCUUGUCUUCCACAACCUUCUAUCUAAGGUUCUGUCUAAUCACCUCUCCCCAAUACUUCUUCGGUCUAAUUCUAUCUAUCCUGAAACCAUUCAUAACCCCUCACACUUUUACAUGGGCAUCUGUGCAUUUCCUCUUCAUAUGCUUAAACCAUCACAGUCUCGCCUCUCGCAUCAUGCCCUCUAUUGAGACCACUCCUACCUUAUUUCAGACAUUCUUAAUCUAAUCUCUCAUAGUAUGCCGACACAUCCACCAAAACAUUCUCAUUUCUGCAACUUUAAUCUUGUGAACGUAAGAGUUCUUGACUAGCCAACACUCCGCCCCAUACUCUAACCACCACUCUGCAAUACUUGCCUUUGAGUUUUGAUGACAUCUUCUUAUCACACAAUACUCCAGAUGCGAGCCUACAUUUUAUCCACUCUGCACCAAUACAAUGUGUGACAUUAUCAUCACUUUGUCCAUUCCUUGGAUAAUAGACCCAAGAUACUUGAAUCUUCCUUUCUUUUGAUUGACAUGUGCAUCAAGCCUCACUUCUACUCCACCCUUACAUUAACAUAGCAAUAAAUUGAAGCAGUUCAAUUUAAAAUCUUACGGUAAUUAGUGCAGAUUUUAGAGUGUUUUUCUAUUUCAAAAAAAAAGAUUUUAGAGUGUUUACACACUCAUAAAUCCUAAUCGUAACUUAUCACAAGUGAAAGAAUGUUGUAAAAGAAAAACCCUAAAUUCUCUGACACAAUUAAAUAUAUGUAAACCCCUUUAAAAUCUUCCUGACUUGAUGUGAUACAGUAAAUUUUUAUAAUAAUACAACAAAUUUUGUGUCUAGUUGAUUUGGAGCACAUUCCACUUGUGAAAAAGGUAAAACUUGAAAAUGCAACAUUUUGCUAAGUACUAUCUUCUAUUUUACUUUAUGGUUUGAUUUGGAAUACAUUUCAAUGGUGAAAAAGGUAAACAUCUAAUCAAGGAAAAUGCUAUAGUAGCCUUGAAUUGUUAAUUGCCAUUUAGUAUUUCCAAACCAACAAAACAAAGCAUUUGGCUUGUGUAAAUGCUCUUUGUUUUCCCAGAACUCCACUGUUUUAGAAAUUUUUUUCAUAAAUAAAUCAAUGUGCUUCUUCAGGUCAAUUGAUUUUAUAGUUCCUCAAAUACAAAAUAGAUGAAAACUUUUCUGAACUGCUUUUUUGUUUUGUACUUACACCUUGAAUUUUGUUUUCCUGGAGUCGAAGAAAUCCUAAACUUUCUUCUUCUUUAUUCAAAUUGUAAAUGACUAUGUGACCAUUUCCUAGUUCCAAAUAGCCCAGGCCUAAGUGCAAAUAUAGUAGGAUAAUCUGUGUAUAAUAGACCCUUCUGACCAUUCCCCGGACCUCGCGCAUAGCGACAGCUUAGUGUACCGAGUGCCCUUCUUAAAGAGUUUAUAUCCUAGAUGCGCCCAUCUAAUAAGUCAUAUAUAAAAUGCAUUAUCUUGACCUUAAAGGGAGAUUAAAAAAAAAGAAGGUACCAAAAGUUUCAUCUUUAUUGCUAGUAACUAUGUUUUUCCCUAUGGCCUAAACACAAUUUGCUGUGAACCAAGCUAACUUAGUAAGGGCCUAUGAGUUAGAAGUGGUGAAAAAGAUUGGGCCGAGUAAAAUGUUGGAGCAUUUUAUUUGGGAAUCAGACCCAAUUAGCAUCUGGUUAAAAGGGAGAAGUGGUCUGAAAGAAGGGGUUAUGCUUGUUAUGAAGAAAAUCUUUGUUCCUCUUAUCUUCUUCUAGAUCUAAGUUUCUCAUCCUCAUUCUUAUCUAUAUCCGUAGUUACUUGUUAUUUCAAAUUUUCUAUUGUAAGUCAAUAGUUUAAGUGUUGCCGUUGUAAUUUGGCUAUCAGUGAUUAUAUAAUACUUGAGUAUUUGUGUUGAGAAUUCUAAUUUGUUACAUUGGUGCUUUCCUCCAUCGGUCUCCAACAAUGGCGAUGUUUCUACCUAGAUUCAGCGGCGACGGCAACCCAGAGAGCUGGAUUUUCUGGCCGAUUUGUACUUCACAAAUCUUGGCUUCGACGAGAAUGAUUGUUUUCCACUUCCUUCAUUCUACCUUUAUGGUGAAGCCUAUUUCACAAUAAGCUAAUUUUUGAUUGGAAGCAUUUCAAGGGUAAAUUUGCUCAGUGCUUUCAACAACAAACCAACAACAAUGUAGUGGGGCGUCUAGCUAAUUCAUCACAAGUUCAUUUUUGACUGCGUUAAUUAUGUCCCUAUAGUUUCACAAUCAGCUGUGGUGUCUCCCAGUCAUUUUCCAGCAUCAUCUGCCCUUGAUUUUGCCUAUGAAACUGGUAACUCAAAGGCGGACUUUGUGCUUUAUAAAUUGCCAGAGACGUAUUAACAUGUGGAUUCCUUGGCAUUGAUUACUGGAAGUAAUACUGAGACUGAAGCUCUUAAAGACAGGUACUCACCUCAUACAGGGAAUGCAAAGUCAGUAGAGGGAGCAAAUUUGGUAUCGGGACCUUUUUUCAAUGCUGAAAACAAGGCGUUCGAUGAAAUGUCACACACAACAGUGAGCUUUGAAAUUCAUGAUCUUUAACGCUAUUGUCCAUGAGGGAGAAACUUUGCAACUACAGUGCGACGAUAGCUUCUGUGUAGAUGUCAGCUUGAAUACGAAGGUGCCUACUGCGAUGUUAGAUGAUACGAAAGAAUCUAAUACUGAGGAGGAGGACAACCCAUGAGAUAAUGUAGCUUUGUUUGACAAAUGUCCUAAACGGGAUACAUCGGGGUUUUCUGGUUCCUUUUUCUAGCCAAGGUUCUGUAAUGUUGAAUGUGAGUAUGCAAAUUACUGCAAUCGAAUAUCCAUUUAUGGUUUCUAAUGGGAUCACACUAUUCCUUGUUUGCAUUAUUCUCUUGAAGAAAUGUGUGGGGGUAAACAAACUAGAGUGCCGCCUUACCUUGACUUUAGCUUACACAAAUGCAAUUGGGUUGAUACUGGGCAGGAGUGCAAUCUUCCUUGUUUCUUGUCGUCUAACUUGAGAGGGUGUGGUAGUGAGGAGAAAAUGGAGGAAGUACUCUAGGUAAAUUGUUGUAAGUUCCUCCAAGCAGUCACCAUAUACUUGAGCUGUUAGGCUCUUGUUUGCUAUGUUUGUUCUAGUCCAUAAAGCAAGGGUGACUUCGUCGUAUAUUGUCUUUGAUCCUGGUCCUUUUCUUGAUUAUGUCACAAUCUAUGCAAUAGACUCCACUUUUGGAGAUGGAAAAUCUAUAGAGGAGAGUGCUGUAACAGUACUAUUUGAACGCCCAGGUGUGAAGUUUCCUAUUGGGCAAGUACUCUCUGUGCAAAUUGGUAUCAUUUUUCCAUUAGGAAUCUGAUGUCAUACUAUAGAUGGUUCCUUUUGUAGUCCUGUGGACAAUUGGCUCGACACUGUGCAGGAUGAUAUAGGUGGUGCAUUGAUUGCUAAUGAAUCUUUAAAUUGGUUAUACUGCAAAGUUGUAUGAUUGGGGGUGUGUCGAUGGAGUUGAAAUUGAUAUUCAAAGCUAUGGUGCUUUCAACACUUCUUUUGCAAGUUACAAACUACUAGGAGAGUUUAUAGAGAAUUCAUUGAUGUGUCUUUAUAAUGGUGUUACUACUGUUUUGGUGCAAUUCAAUGCACCAGUGGUACAAUCUGAUAUAUCUGCUAAGACGAACCGUGACAUUCUAAUUUUUUCUCUUGGACAUGAUACUUUGUUGGAUUGGAUAACAAGGCCAGGGACGGAUUCAUUAAGGGAUUUGCCACACUCUACACCUGUUGUGAAGAGUGAAGAGGAAGAUAGUGGUGAAGCGAUUGGCAAAAAGAUGAUAAUUUCUCUAGUGAGGAAAUUGGAAUAUUAUGAUGCUGCUAUACUUAAGAUUCCGACAUUUGUUCAUGUCACAACUACAGUGCGACGAUAGAUUCUGUGAAGAUGCAGUAUGGUCGUGUUGAACUCCUAUUUUGACAUACAACACUCUUUUGAUUUAUACAUUAGGAUUCUUUCUGAAGGGACAAGGACGACCACUACAAAUAGAAAUCAACAACCAUUCUUCUGUCAAACUCGUCACUACAAAGGAUUGAUUUCACCAAAUGUAUUUUUGCUGCCCAACGUUGAAAUGAUGAGGUAUCAUAUUAAAAUCUGUUUGAUCCAUUUGUGAAUCUGGUCAAAGCUAACAGUCUUGUAGAAUAUUAAGUAUCUGUUCAAACCUUAUAGUCUUGAUGAAAUAUGAUGUUUGUCAUUUAUACACAUAUAUAUAAAAAAGUAGCAUACAUGUAUAUGAUACAUAGUGACCUGAAUUAGAUACAUCGAUCUAUUUCCGAAUUAACAUAUCUGAUGCAUCCGUUUUCAGCAUACAUAUAUUGUAAUUUCGGUUUUCUUGUAUCUAUUAGUUGGAUUAGUGAAUAGUAGUGGCUGGUAUUUUUUUUGUUCUCCUACCCGGUGUCCAGCCUCACUCCCUGGGCUAUUUGAACUAGACCAUGGACAGCAGAGGAAAAUAGGCAUGGUGAUCUUCUCAACAAAUAUCUUUAUCUUUCGUAAGAGUUGAUAUGAAGCAUAUUGAAAAGACAAUCCAUUACCCAAUUGGUUCUGGGAUGGUAAGAUUUUUACCAGACCUUAUGUUAUCAUGUAGGUUUGCUGAGGUUUAUAAUAAAUAGUGCAGCUUUUAGCAAGUGUUAUCUGUCUCUGUCCAUCUGCAUUUGGCUCCAAUAAACGUUGGUUACAUUUCUUUGAGUUAUUUGUACCAGUAACUGGUUUAUGAAUGAGUGCUCUUGGAAUAUCCCAUGACUAAGUGACCAUUUCAAUGCACCAGUGGUACAAUCUGAUAUAUCUGCAAAGACGAACCGUGACAUUGUCUUUUUUUCUAUUGGACAUGAUAUUUUGUUGGAUUGGAUAGCAAGGCCAGGGACAGAUUCAUUAAGGGAUUUGUCACACUCUACACCAGGGACGGAUUCAUUAAGUGAUUUGCCACACUCUACACCUGCUGUGAAGUGUGAAGAGGAAGAUAGUGGUGAAGCGAUUGGUAAAAAGAUGAUAAUCUCUCUAGUGAGGAACUUGGAAUAUUAUGAUGCUGCUAUACUUAAGAUUCCGACAUUUGUUCAUGUCACAACUACAGUGCGACGAUAGAUUCUGUGAAGAUGUCAGUAUGGUCGUGUUGAACUCCUAUUUUGACAUACAACACUCUUUUGAUUUAUACAUUAGAAUUCUUUCUGAAGGGACAAGGACGACCACUACCAAUAGAAAUCAACAACCAUUCUUCUGUCAAACUCGUCACUACAAAGGAUUGAUUUCACCAAAUGUAUUUUUGCUGCCCAACGUUGAAAUGAUGAGGUAUCAUAUUAAAAUCUGUUUGAUCCAUUUGUGAAUCUGGUCAAAGCUAACAGUCUUGUAGAAUAUUAAGUAUCUGUUCAAACCUUAUAGUCUUGAUGAAAUAUGAUGUUUGUUCUUUAUACAUAUAUAUAUAUAUAUAUAUAUAUACACAAGUAGUUUUAUAUUUUUCCUUUAUAUUAUAUUUGUUUGUAGGAUUAUUGGUACUUGUAAAUAUGAUACAUAGUGACCUGAAUUAGAUACGCCUUCUGGGUCGAGCUCGUCGCACCAGGCUUGCCUAGUGCGGGUUACCUCUCCUAUGUGGUUUGCGAGCUAUUGCAUAGGAGCGGGGGUUUUACCCUGUGCGCACCCAAAGGGUAGCGGCUGCGGGUUUCCCUUGUCAUCAAAAAAANNNNNNNNNNNNNNNNNNNNNNNNNNNNAUCUAUUUCCGAAUUAACAUAUCUGAUGCAUCCGUUUUCAGCAUACAUAUAUUGUAAUUUCGGUUUUCUUGUAUCUAUUAGUUGGAUUAGUGAAUAGUAGUGGCUGGUAUUUUUUUUGUUCUCCUACCCGGUGUCCAGCCUCACUCCCUGGGCUAUUUGAACUAGACCAUGGACAGCAGAGGAAAAUAGGCAUGGUGAUCUUCUCAACAAAUAUCUUUAUCUUUCGUAAGAGUUGAUAUGAAGCAUAUUGAAAAGACAAUCCAUUACCCAAUUGGUUCUGGGAUGGUAAGAUUUUUACCAGACCUUAUGUUAUCAUGUAGGUUUGCUGAGGUUUAUAAUAAAUAGUGCAGCUUUUAGCAAGUGUUAUCUGUCUCUGUCCAUCUGCAUUUGGCUCCAAUAAACGUUGGUUACAUUUCUUUGAGUUAUUUGUACCAGUAACUGGUUUAUGAAUGAGUGCUCUUGGAAUAUCCCAUGACUAAGUGACCAUUUCCUAGUUCCAAAAAGCUCAGGCUAGUGCAAAUAUAGCAGAAUAAGCUAUGUAUAAUAGACCCUUCCCCGGAUUAGCACAUAGAGGAAGCCCCUUUUAAGAGUUCAUGUCCUAGAUUCAUCCAUCAAUGCACCAGUGGUACAAUCUGAUAUAUCUGCAAAGACGAACCGUGACAUUGUCUUUUUUUCUAUUGGACAUGAUAUUUUGUUGGAUUGGAUAGCAAGGCCAGGGACAGAUUCAUUAAGGGAUUUGUCACACUCUACACCAGGGACGGAUUCAUUAAGUGAUUUGCCACACUCUACACCUGCUUACCAUACCCUCAAAGUUUCUUAAUACAAAUCUAUGGAAAAUUUAAUGUUCAGAAUUGCACUCCAACACAAGUGCAUUCAUCUCUUAAUCUCUUUCCUCCAAUUUUCUAAUCCGUAGAGCCAGUCCACAUACAUAAUCUUGUGCUCUGCGUCCUUCACCAGAAAGAUGCAGUAUAAAAAGAAGUCCACUAGCACCGGAAUCUUCCUCAAAAAGAGGCAGCAAGAGUAGUAUGAGUACAAAAUCAUGCAUACUCCAUUGGCAUCAUAGGCCUACCAAGUCAGAGUUAAUAACUAUAACAUAUAAAGGGAUGUUAUAAGCUCUGCACUCAGAAAAUGUCCCUGUAGUUCAAUAUAAGAUAGUCAAUAAGAAGCAACACAAAGCAAAAGAAUAAUAAAAAUGCAACGCAAUAUAAUGCAAUGCUAAUGACCCUACUAGCAUACACUCCACAGAAAAUGUUGUGAGGUGGGACCCAUGAGGGACCCGUGAGGUCCAUAUACCCUACCUGGACUCGAACCAAGACUUUCGUCGAUUCUAUAAAUUUACUUUCAAGUCAAGCCCUUAGACCACAUUUCACCACUAUAAACAUAUUGCUUUCAAUAAAAUCUUGACAAAUCAACCCCUCAUUAGUGAUAAAAUACCCAAGUUGAGUUUGAGAAAAGUAAGCAAUAACCUACCUUGAAAGUCGAGCAACGUGCCACACAUAGACAUAUAUUUAAAGUACUUCUCUUAGUAGCAUCACAGUUCUAUUAUAAGGGAGGAAUUUUAUCCUUGAUAGCAACGCAGGAACUCUUCAUAACUGUUAGGGUACCGAAUCCCAUUAGCUCAAAAUCCCUAUUGUUAUUGUCACCACUCAAUGAUGGUCCCUCCCCCCUACUUAAUUUCACUUCUGGAGGAUCCAUUCCGGUGUUGAUGAGGUGAGAGUAGAAAUUAAAAAUGUUGAGGAGGAAAUGAAGAAUAUAUCGAAAGUUAUAUGCUUCAUUUCUUAAUCAACAUUUUUAAUCUCUACUCUCACCUCAUCAACACCGGUAUGGAUCCUCCAGAAGUGAAAUUAAGUAAGGGGGGGGGGGGGUGAGUGGUGACAAUAACAAAAGGGAUUUUGAGCUGAUGGGAUUCGGUACCCUAAUAGUUACGAAGAGUUGUUGCGGGUCAUCAGUGUUUUUCUUUCUUUUGAGAAAAUUGAAUAUCAAAAUUUUUGAUUUGGGAUAUGGAAGUAGAUGAAAUAGAACUGGAAAGAAAGAGAAUAUCAAUGAAAUAGAAAAACCCUUAUAGGUUGUUGAAUUUUUCAGGGGAUAUGAAACUGGAUAGCAAUCGAAUAUACUAACAUUAAUAGGUUAGAGGGAAAAUAAUGAAAUUGGGAAAUCUUUUUCAUUUCUUGACUUUUUUGACUUUUUUGAGAUAUGGAGGAAGAGAAAAUUGGAAAUUAAAAGGAAAAGAGGAAGAGGAUGAGAUCUGAAAAUUGAGAAAAGGGAGAAGAUGAGAUCUUAAAUUGAAGAAAAAGGGAGAAGAUGAGAUCUGAAAUUGAGAAAAACGGAGAAAGAUAAGGUCUGAAAUUGAGAAGAAAAAAAGAAGAUGAGGUCUGAAAUUGAGAAAAAAAGGAAGAAGAUGAGAUCUGAAAUUACGAAAAGAAAAAACUAAGGGAAAGAGAGAGAUAGGGAAGAUGGGUUACAAUGAAAUUUGUUUUAUAGCCUAGAUCAAGUUAUAAAGGAAAUGAGUUAAACGAUGUGGGACUUAAUAUGACGACACGUAGUAAAUUUGGUAUAUUUUUUUUUUAAAAUGGCUAAUAAAAUAUGACGUGUUGUUAGAUAUGACCUUCUAUACCCAAUUAAACCGUGGCAUGAAUAAGCCAUAGUAAUAACGAUCAUAGCAAAAGUGGUACCUAAUUUAUCUUCUAUAAAGACAUCAACAACAAUUAAAUGAGAAAUUGCCAAGAGAAAUAUAUUCCUAAAAAGGAAAAAUAACUACAAUAAAAUAGUGUGCUAAUCAAAAGUACAAAAGACAAGUAGAAAGUAAAUAAAGUCGAAGGACAAGAAACUAUAGGAGAAAUAUCAAGGCUACCGCUAGGGGUGUUCACGGGUUGGUUUGGGUAGGUUAUUGGUCAAAACUAAAAUCAAAUCAAUUUAAUUAGUUUUGAAAUUAUCAAAACCAAACCAAAUAUAAUAUACAUUUAUCGGUUUGGUUGUUUUCGGUUUUGGUUUGGUUUGGUUUGGUUCGGUUAUUUCGUUAUUAACCAUACAAGAAAAUAAAAGAAACAAUUCAUUCAAAACGUGAAAAAAUUGACAACAAUCCAUUCAAACGAAAAAAUAGUUAGAAUGACCGGCAUUACAGAACUUUGGAUCAUUAAAUUUACUGAAUAAAACUUCAAAAUUCACUAUUUUGGCAUAGAAGGAAGAGAUAAUGAUAUUUUCAGUCCUACAAUGAAUUUCCAUAGAUACUCAUAUACAUGAAACCAAUAAGAAAAAGGUUCUCACCUUGGACAUUUUUUCUUUCAUAAGUAAAUUAUAAAUAAAUUUUGAUGAAACAUAUAUAAAAUCUUUAAAAUUGUUUAUGAAUAUAAUAUAUUAUGUAUGCAUAAUAAUAAAAUUUAUGUAUAUAACUUGUUGGUUCGGUUCGGUUAUUUCUUCAAAUUUUUUCGAACAAAACCAUAACCAAACCAAAUACUAUCGGUUCUUAACAAUCUAAAACCAAACCAAACCAAAACCCAAAUUAAAUCGGUUCAUUUAAUCGGUUUGAUUUGAUUUUUCGAUUUGAAUCGGUUUUAAUCCAAACCAUGAACACCCCUAAUUAUUUCCAUUAAGUUUUUCACUUUAUUUAAGUCAGUAAUAAUACUUUUGAUACCAUGUUUGUUAUUGACAUAUCUUUAGGCAAGAAUUUUAACAAUUAUGCAUGUGACAUACACAUUCAAGCAAAUCAAUAACCUUCUAUCUAAGGUCAUGUCCUUGGUAUAUUUAUAAGGCAUAUUUUCGCAUUUAUGAGCCAACUUUUAGAAUUUACGCAACUUUCUUGGUUUUUCGUAUGUAUUAACCUAUAGUCCCGUGAUUUUUAAGGCAUAUGCUUGAACCAUCACAGUCUAGCUUCCUGCAUCGUGUCCUUUAUUAAGACCACUCCUAUCUUAUUUCGGAUAUCUUCAUUCUUAAUCGAAUCUCUCAUAGUAUUCCGACAUAUUCACCACAACAUUCUCAUUUUCUCAAUUUUAAUAUUGUGAACGUAAGAGUUCUUGACUAGCCAACACUCCGCCCAAUACUCUAACCACCACUCUGCAGAACUUGUCUUUGAGUUUUGAUGGCAUCUUCUCAUCACACAAUACUUCAGAUACGAACCUACAUUUAAUCCACUCUGCAUCAAUACGAUGUGUGACAUUAUCAUCACUUUGUCCAUUCCUUGAAUAAUAGACCCAAGAUACUUGAUCUUCCUUUCUUUUGAAUGACAUGUGCAUCAAACUUCACUUCUACUCCACCCUUAUAUUAACAUACCAAUAAAUUAAAGCACUUCAAUUUAAAAUCUUAAGGUAAAAGUGUUUACAAACUCAUAAAUCCUAAUAGUAAAUUAUCACAAGUGAAAGAAUGUUGUAAAAGAAAAACCUUAAACUCUCUAACACAAUUAAAUAUGUAUAAACCCCUUUAAAAUGUUAAAGUAGCCUUGAAUUGUUAAUUGGCUAAUUGCCAUUUAGUAAGUCAUAUAGUUCAUCCAUCUAAUAAGUCAUUUAUAUAAUGCAUAAUCUUGACUUGAAAAGGAAAAAAUAAAGAGGGUACCAAAAGGUUCAUCUUUAUUGCUAAAAACUAUGUUUUUCCCUAUGGCCUAGACACAAUUGCAAAAAGAAAAACCAAUACUCUAGUGAAUUAGCUUCAACUACCCUGCACAGACUUCAUAUCAUACCCUUAAAGUUUCUUAACAUAAAUCUAUGGCAAAUUUAAUGAUCAGAAAGUAACAUGGCAUUGCCCUCCAACACAAGUGCAUUCAUAUCUUAAUCUCUUUACCAAAAAUCCAGCUGACAGGAACGGGACUUCGCUGCUUGGCCCUUGCCUGUGCUCUCUCCUCCAAUUUUCUAAUCCUCGGAGCCAGUCCACAUACAUAAUCUUGUGCUCUGCGUCCUUCACCAGAAAGAUGCAGUAUAAAAAGAAGUCCACUAGCACCGGAAUCUUCCUCAAAAAGAGGCAGCAAGAGUUGUAUGAGUACAAAAUCAUGCGUACUCCAUAGGCAUCAUAGGCCUACCAACCAGAGUUAGUAACAAUAAUGUACAGAGGAUGUUAUUAACUGUGCACUCAGAAAAUGUCCCUGCAGUUCAGUAUAAGAUAGUCAAUAAGAAGCAACGCAAAGCAAAACAAUAAUAAAAAUGCAACGCAAUAUGAUGCAAUGCUAAUGACCCUACUAAUCCUCCAAUUUUCUAAUCCGCGGAGCCAGUCCACACACAUAAUCUUGUGCUCUGCGUCCUUCACCAGAAAGAUGCAGUAUAAAAAGAAGUCCACUAGCACCGGAAUCUUCCUCAAAAAGAGGCAGCAAGAGUUGUAUGAGUACAAAAUCAUGCGUACUCCAUAGGCAUCAUAGGCCUACCAACCAGAGUUAAUAACUAUAACGUACAGAGGAUGUUAUAAACUGUGCACUUAGAAAAUGUCCCUGCAGUUCAGUAUAAGAUAGUCAAUAAGAAGCAACGCAAAGCAAAACAAUAAUAAAAAUGCAACGCAAUAUGAUGCAAUGCUAAUGACCCUACUAACAUACACUCCACAGGAAAUGUUGUCAGGUGGGACCCAUGAGGGACUUGUGAGGUCCAUAUACCCUACCUGGACUCGAACCAAGACUUUCGUCAAUAUAGUCUGUCCGAUUCAAUAAAUUUACUUUCAAGUCAAGCCCUUAGACCACAUUUCACCACUAUAAGCAUAUUGCUUUCAAUAUAAUGUCAAUCUUGACAAAUUAACCCCUCAUAUGUGAUAAAAUACCCGAAAUUGAGUAAAACUUGGCAAUGAUGUAAUUUCAAGUCAUCACCCGAGUUAAGUAUGAGAAAAGUAAGCAAUAACCUACCUUGAAAGUCGAGUAACGUGCCACACAUAAAUGCACAGACAUAUAUUUAAAGUACUUCUUUUAGUAGCAUCACGGCUCAAUUAUAAGGGAGUAAUUUUAUCCUUGAUAGCAACGCAGGAACUCUUCAUAACUGUUAGGGUACCGAAUCCCAUCAGCUAAAAAUCCUUAUUGUUAUUGUCACCACUCAAUGAUGGUCCCUCCCCCCUACUUAAUUUCACUUCUGGAGGAUCAAUACUGGUGGUGAUGAGGUGAAAGUAGAGAUUAAAAAUGUUUAGGAGGAAAUGAAGAAUAUAUCAGAAAAUAAUUCUGUUGGAAAGUUUGAGGAAAUCACGUCGUUAGACGUAAAGGACUAUGAAGACCUGGGGUUGAUAAUAGAACUAGAGGAAUUAGGAGAAAGUAGUUUUGAAAAUUCUAGCAUAUAUUUUAAUGUACCAUAUAAGGUGUACAACACUAGCUUUUUCAAAAUUACUUAUCCCUAAUUCCUCCAAUUCUACAAUCAAUCCCAACUCCUCAUAGUCUUUCACGUCUAACGACGUGAUUUCUUCCAGCUUUUCAAUAGAACUAUUUUUUGAUAUAUCUUCACUUCCUCCUCAACAUUUUUAAUCUCUACUCUCACCUCAUCACCACCGGUAUUGAUCCUCCAGAAGUGAAAUUAAGUGGGGGCAGGGGGGAACCAUCAUUGAGUGGUGACAAUAACAAUAGGGAUUUUGAGAUGAUUGAAUGGAUUUGGUACCCUAACAGUUACGGAGAGUUGUUGCGGAUCAUCAGUGUUUUUCUUUCUUUUGAGAAAAUUGAAUAUCAAAUAUUUUGAAUUGGGAUAUGGAAGUCGAUGAAAUUGAAUUGGAAAGAAAGAGAAUAUCAAUGAAAUAGAAAAACCCUUAUAGGUUCUUGAAUUUUUCAGGGGAUAUGAAACUAGAAAUCAAUCGAAUAUACUAACGUUAAUAGUUUAAAGGGGAAAGAAUGAAAUUGGAAAAUCCUUUUCAAUUUGAGAUAUGGAGGUAGAGAAACUUGAAAGAAAAUGAAUUGGAAAUUAAAAGGAAAAGAGGAUGAGAUCUGAAAUUGAGAAAAAGGGAAGAAGAUGAGAUCUGAAAUUGAGAAAAAAGGAAGAAGAUGAGAUCUGAAAUGGAGAAAAAAAGAAGAAGAUUAGAUCUGAAAUCGGGAAAAGAAAAAAUUAAGGGAAAGAGAGAGAAAGGGAAGAUGGGCUAAAAUAAAAUUUGUGUUAUAGCAUAGAUCAAGUUAUAAAGGAAAUGAGUUAAACGGUGGGGGAUUUAAUUUGACGACACGUCGUAAAUUUGGUAUUUAAAAUUUUUAAAAAAUUGGCUAAUAAAAUAUGACGUGUUGUUAGAUAUGACAUUCUAUACCCAAUUAACCCGUGGCAUGAAUAAGCCAUAGUCAUAACGAUCAUAGCAAAAGUGGUACCUAAUUUAUCUGCUAUAAAGACAUCAACAACAAAUAAAUGAGAAACUGCCAAGAAAAAUAUAUUCCUAAAAAGGAAAAAUAACUACAAUAAAAUAGUGUGC
rnacentral:lncRNA from 1 species